rnacentral:rRNA from 1 species
GAUGAACGCUGGCGGCGUGCCUAAUACAUGCAAGUCGAGCGAACGGACGCGACGCUUGCUUCUCUGAUGUUAGCGGCGGACGGGUGAGUAACACGUGGAUAACCUACCUAUCAGACUGGGAUAACUUCGGGAAACCGGCUCUAAUCCCGGAUAAUAUUUUGAACCGCAUGGUUCAAAAGUGAAAGACGGUCUUGCUGUCACUUCUCGAUGGAUCCGCGCUGCAUUAGCUAGUUGGUAAGGUAACGGCUUACCAAGGCAACGAUGCAUAGCCGACCUGAGAGGGUGAUAGGCCACACGGGAACUGAGACACGGACAAGACUCCUACGGGAGGCAGCAGUAGGGAAUGUUACGCAAUGGGCGAAAGCAUGACGGAGCAACGCCGCGUGAGUGAUGAAGGUCUUCGGAUCGUAAAACUCUGUUAUGAGGGAAGAACAGAUGUGGAAGUAACUGUGCACAGAGUGACGGUACCUAAUCAGAAAGCCACGGCUAACUACGUG